UACGGAGGGUGCGAGCGUUGCUCGGAAUCACUGGGCGUAAAGGGUGCGUAGGCGGGUCUUUAAGUCAGGGGUGAAAUCCUGGAGCUCAACUCCAGAACUGCCUUUGAUACUGAGGAUCUUGAGUUCGGGAGAGGUGAGUGGAACUGCGAGUGUAGAGGUGAAAUUCGUAGAUAUUCGCAAGAACACCAGUGGCGAAGGCGGCUCACUGGCCCGAUACUGACGCUGAGGCACGAAAGCGUGGGGAGCAAACAGG
rnacentral:rRNA from 1 species